CGGCUGCUUCCCCAGCGUGUGGCCGGGGCAGCGAGGACAGCAGGGAAGCCAUCUGCGAGCGGCGGCGGUGGAGGGGUUAAGUGCGGGAUCAGCUGUUCUCAUGUCAUUACGGAUUCUCUUCAUUUUAUACAGAGCUCUGUUUGAUGUCUGAAUGCACAGGGGACUCCCCCUCCUCCUCCAACUCCCACCCCUUUUAUUUCACUCCCAAGCCCUCUCUCCUUCCUCCUCCCCUUCCUUUCUCUCCCGCUCCGCUCUGGCUCACGCACACCCUUUGCAGACCGUGCGCUCAGUGCCAGUGUCUAAUGGCCCCGAAGUGAAGAGCCGAGCGCUGCUCCGGCGGCAGCGCGGCCGGCCUGCCACAGAUGAACCCUCCUAACUAGCGCCGAGGGGUCGGGAGGGACGGCGAGGAGGGGAGAGCCCGAGGGGCCAGCCGGGAAGACGAGGAUAGCGGUGGAUAGCAGUGUGCGGAAGAGGACGGACCCGCGAGCAGCUCCACGGCUACCUGUCGACACAUGCUGUGCUCCAUGGCUAACUCGGGCUGCCUCCUUGUCUCCAACUCAGGCAUGCUUCCUCACUCUCUCCCCUGUCCUCCAGCCUUCCUCUACCUCCAACAGGGUAACCAGGACACCACGGCUCCGCCGGACGCGAUGGCUCAGCCCUACCCCCCGGCCCAGUACCCCCCACCCCCCCAGAACGGAAUCCCCGCAGAGUACGCACCACCGCACCCCCACCCCACGCAGGACUACUCGGGGCAGAGCACAGUACCGGAGCACGCCAUGACCCUCUACACACCAGCACAGAGCCACGCCGAGCAGCCAGGCACCGACGCCAGCACACAGUCCAUAGCAGGGACACAGACAGUACCGCAGACAGACGAGGCGGCACAGACAGACAGCCAGCAGCUACAUUCCUCAGACAACACAGACAAACAGCAGCCUAAGAGGUUACACGUCUCCAACAUCCCCUUCCGAUUCCGGGACCCUGACCUGCGACAAAUGUUUGGGCAAUUUGGGAAGAUACUGGAUGUGGAGAUCAUUUUCAAUGAGCGGGGCUCCAAGGGUUUUGGGUUUGUAACUUUUGAAACUAGCACAGAUGCCGACCGGGCACGAGAGAAGCUGAAUGGCACCAUCGUAGAGGGCCGGAAGAUUGAGGUGAACAAUGCCACAGCCCGCGUCAUGACCAACAAGAAGGUGGCCAACCCUUACACCAACGGCUGGAAGCUGAACCCAGUGGUGGGAGCAGUCUAUGGCCCCGAAUUCUACGCAGUAACGGGAUUCCCAUACCCCACCACGGGGACAGCCGUGGCCUACCGAGGGGCACACCUACGGGGACGGGGACGCGCCGUCUACAACACCUUCCGAGCUGCGCCGCCACCGCCGCCCAUCCCCACCUACGGCGCGGUCGUCUACCAGGACGGGUUCUACGGAGCUGUAAGGGGGCUAUGCUGCCUACAGGUACGCCCAGCCUGCGGCAGCAGCGGCAGCGUACAGUGACAGUUACGGCAGAGUGUACGCAGCAGCAGACCCCUACCACCACACCAUCGGCCCCGCCGCCACGUACAGCAUCGGCACCAUGUGAACCCACGGCUGUUUCCUUCUGGGACCAGGAAGGGCAAAAAAACACACACACACACACACACAAAAAAAAAAACCAAACAAAAAAA